rnacentral:rRNA from 1 species
GAUGAACGCUGGCGGCGUGCCUAAUACAUGCAAGUCGAGCGAAGCGGGGACGGGUGAGUAACACGUGGAUAACCGCCUAUAAGACUGGGAUAACUUCGGGAAACCGGAGCGAAACCGGACACUUAUAGAUGGAUCCGGGCUGCAUUAGCAUGUUGGUAGGGUAACGGCUUACCAAGGCAACGAUGCAUAGCCGGCCUGAGAGGCUGAUCACCCACACUGGGCCUGAGGCACGGUCUAUGCUCCUCCGUGAGCCAGCGGUGGGGAAUCUUCCGCAAUGGGCGAAAGCCUGACGAAGCAACGCCGCGUGCGUGAUGCAGCUCUUCGGAUCGUAAAUCUCUGUUAUUAGGAAAGCGGUACCUAAACAGAAAGCCACGGCUAACUACGUGCCAGCCGCCGCGGUAAUAC